rnacentral:tRNA from 1 species
UAGUAGGUAGUUAGAGAAUCACGGCAAUGGUCUUUUAAGCCAUUGGCCGUGAGUUCGAGUCUCACCCGAGUCA